rnacentral:rRNA from 1 species
UAAGGAAUAUUGGUCAAUGGACGCAAGUCUGAACCAGCCAUGCCGCGUGAAGGAUGAAGGUCCUCUGGAUUGUAAACUUCUUUUAUCUGGGACGAAAACGGGAUUUUUAUCUCAAUUGACGGUACCAGAGGAAUAAGCACCGGCUAACUCCGUGCCAGCAGCCGCGGUAAUACGGAGGGGGCAAGCGUUGUCCGGAUUUACUGGGUGUAAAGGGCGCGCAGGCGGAAUGGAAAGUCAGUGGUGAAAUCCUACAGCUUAACUGUAGAACUGCCUUUGAUACUUUCAUUCUUGAGUUCGGGAGAGAGAGACGGAAUUCCAGGUGUAGUGGUGAAAUACGUAGAUAUCUGGAAGAACACCAGUUGCGAAGGCGGUCUCUUGGUCCGAUACUGACGCUGAGGCGCGAAAGCGUGGGGAGCAAACA